UCUGGUUUGUCAUCUCACUACAGAAGCAAUCUUAUUCCAAAUCCUAGUCUGUUCUUUAUGAAAAUCCUCCCUGAAGCCUGUCAACUAUUCUGCUUUGAGUAACUAAUUUCAGCACCACAGUUUCCUGUAUCAUUACGGCAUCAACAAACCUUUAGAGAUCAUGAAAGAUGCCAACAAGUCUAUAAAAGGAGUAGAUGAAUGACUUCUCCCUAAAAAUACAAAGAUAAAGUAACAUCGAGAUUGCCUGCUCAAACAGUGAAUAAAAUGGACUUAGCACUCCAUCAACUCUAAGCUGUG
rnacentral:misc_RNA from 1 species